rnacentral:rRNA from 1 species
UACGAGGGGGGCAAGCGUUGUUCGGAAUUAUUGGGCGUAAAGGGUGCGUAGGCGGUUUGGUAAGUCUGAUGUGAAAUCUAUGGGCUCAACUCAUAGUCUGCAUCGGAAACUGCCGGGCUUGAGUGUGGGAGAGGUGAGUGGAAUUCCUGGUGUAGCGGUGAAAUGCGUAGAUAUCAGGAGGAACACCGGUGGCGAAAGCGGCUCUCUGGACCACAACUGACGCUGAGGAGCGAAAGCGUGGGGAGCGAACAGG